UCAACUCAAAUUUGUAUGGAGUUGGAACGUUUGCCUACGUUUACCGCUAGGGGCGCUGUUCCAAUUGCGUAUACUGGUGGUA
rnacentral:pre_miRNA from 1 species